rnacentral:tRNA from 1 species
GGUCCCGUGGUGUAGCGGUUAGCACCCAGGACUCUGAAUCCUGCGACGGGAGUUCAAAUCACCCCGAGACCU